GCACAGGCAGGGAGCUGUGUAGUGUCUUGCUUUCACCCUACCCUCAAAAGCCUGAAGCAAUGACAAAGGCUGUUCAAAGUGCUGAGGAACCAAGGAAAUGUACAUAUUUGGCUUAAUUCAUAAAACUGUCAUUGAAGGCCAGCUAAGAAGACGAAGAUUUUUGUCCAGGAUCUGCAGCUGUGAGACCACAGAAAGUUUGUUGACUCAUGACCUAGAUGACUGCAAGAGCCUACAAUGAAGUCCCUCUGCAAACAGAAGCAAAAGGCACAGUCUGCUCCUCCUAAAGCAAGUCCACAUCUCUACUCCAGAAAAGAGCAAACUAUUUACAACUAUUUAAAUACAGCCUUUUCAUCUUAAAAAUUACAUUAAGUUUCUGGAAUUCUGAUAUACCCAAUUCCAAGUAAGCAUGCUUUGAGCUGAAUUGAGCCUUUAGGAGUUGGAAUAUUUGGGACCUAGUCCCCAACCAAGUCUUCAGGACUUCUCAAAUAAUUAAUUCAGGCCAUACAAGAGAUUUGGUGAAUGAUACAGAGCAGUAGAAGUCCCAUAAAUGGGGGAAAGAGAAGACAUAGGGGUUACAGGAGAGGAGAGAAGGGUAUUGUUAGGGAAGUACAUGAAGUCAUAAAGUAGCACUUACUGAAGACCUGGGAUUUUCUAAUUAAGCCCAAGCAAUUCUCCUGAAUUCAGUUCAAUUUAUGGGUUCGUAUGCUAAAGAAAAAAAAUAUCAAUUCAUCUUGAUACUAUUUUGAUCAUUAUUUCCACAGGAAAGAUUUCCAACAUUCUUAUUCAGUUCUGGAGGCUGGCAAGUUCAAGAUCAAGGUGCCAGAAGAUUUGGUGUUUGGAUGGUCAUUUUCUGCUGCUAUGGCCCAGUUUGUGCCUUCAAGGACUGACUGUGUAAAAAAGAGCCCAGAAACUCUUUGAACUGACUUACAGUAGCUUCUUCAGCAGUCAGCUGUAACGAUGGCUGGAGCACCUGGUACCUGAGUGAGGGCCAAGAAUGGGCUCUGCAUGUGCCCUCCCUCAACAAUUGCCCACCACCCAUUCUCACACAAAUGCAGUGGGGGAUGAACCUGUAGGGAUGGGUAAUCAGCCUGAAAGGAACAAUUUUGCAUAUGUGUAAAAUCUGAAAAAAUAAAUUAUUAUUCAUGGGAAACAUGCCACUAAUAUGAUAGAGAAGAAAAAGUUUGAUAUUUGGUGUCUGAACAUUUGGGUGUUUCCAGACCUAUCUCUGCCAUUUACUCUAUGAUUAAGACUUCACGACAUAAGUUUUCUGAGUCUCAUCUUCCCACCUCUUAAAGGUGCCUAAUGACAAUACCUGAAACCACUUUGCCAUAAAACAUUUACUGCAUAUUGUCAAUGCAUACUAGGUAUGAUACUAGGCACCAGCAAUAUAAAAACAAAUGAAAUGUGGCACCUGCUCUCAAGACUUGAAAGAAGCUAUAAUGUAAAGCAUCGAACUACAGGAGAAAAGUGGGAAUCUUUCCUUUUUCACAUCCAUAGUCACUAAGGCCAUUUGUCGACUGAGCAAAUGUAUAGUACAGAAAGCUGUUAGACUAAUAUCUAGUGAUUAAACUGUACUUAAGGGAGAGAAUGGCCUUUAAGUAGCAAAAAUCUCUCAUGGGUUAUUUUGUUAUUUAAAAGUGGCACUGGCGAGGGCUAGGAUAAAACAGUUAAACAGUUUUACCCAGGAAAUAAACCACAAUAUUGGAGAAGGAGGUUUAAAGUACUAGAAAAGAGAGAAGGAGGAAGAGAAAUAGUAAGAAUGCAGGCUGAGCUGAAAUAAUUUCCAUGAUCAGCUGUAAAGUUGCACACUUUUACAUGCAUACUCUGAUGUUGGAUUGUCAGUAAAAGUCUGCUAUCCACAAUUAUUAUCUUUGAGUUUGGGGAAAAUAAAUUAAAAGGAAAUGUUUGCCAAUCAUUGAUGAAUGGCAGUGGGAGAAGUGAAGAGAUGGAGAAUAAGAGAGACCUGAACCAGGGCCGGAAUCCCUGGAGUCCUCAUAGAACAUUAUAGGACAUUGAGAUCCCACCAUCUGUAGAAUAGGGUUUUAAGCCAAUGUAUACCUUAAUUGUGAUAAACAAGGGGAUCCCUGCAAGCUGAAGAUCCAGGGAACAGGUGGAGACAGACACAGAAGAAAUGAGGAAAUUAAUGAAUAAAAAGUCAAGAGCAUGAGAGGAAGGUAGACAUGACUUUGAAGGAAAGUCAGGCAAGAAUGUAUGGUUAUACUCUGUUGUCAGCAGGGAAUUACUUUAUAAAGUAGAAAGAGAAGCCCAAAGAGCAUCUUUUCCCCAGGGUAUAGUCAAGAGAAGAGAAGAGAUGGAAAGCCAUUUGGAAAAAGUGAUGGGGAAUUCAGGCAUCGGGUCAACACCAAGGUAAGUGGGAAGAACUCAGUGGGCCUGGCAUUGCUGGCAUAAAGAGAAGGUCCCUGAGGGCAGAAGGACACCUUCCAGACAGACCUGCUGUUUCUCCAAAGGGGUGCUUGCUUCACAUCCUUAUAUAUUUUUUUCCAGUCUUUACCUGAUGCCUGAGACCUGGCCCUUCUAAUUCUUUACACUGAAAGACCAGAAAAUUUUUUAAAAGAGAAAAAGAAAGAAAGAUAAAGAAAAAAGAAAGAAAGACAAGCAUAGCAUUUAUAGAAACAUGAGAACUUCUGCAGGGGUGCAGACCCAUCUUUGAAAAUGAUUCUUUGGAAGAGGCCUUUAGUGCCAAAUACUUGAGUUGCUGCCAGUCUGUUAUGACUCCUUCUUUAUCAUUUCCCCUCACAUGAGGCAGAUCGAGACAGAUCCACAUUCCUUCCCCUGUGUUUGGGGCCCACUCUCAGUCAUUGUCAGCUGCUGGUUUGCUGAGGUUCUUGGGGUUGAAAAAAUCCACCUGGUGGCUCCAUCUCUGUUUGCUGCAACAUUUAUGUAGAUGGGGUGUCAUCUGGGAGUCAUGGCAGCAGAGACACAACAAACAAAAGCAACCCACUGGCUUCCAGGGUGAACAGCAAAUUCCUCUUUAGCUCCCUAGAAUGUUUAUGGAGUAGCUGAGUAGCCACACAUCCUUGAUCCUCCAAAGCCAGAUAGUGGGCAGCUGUUGCAAAUUCUUUCUGAAGAGCUUAUACAUAAAAUAAUUCUUGCUGAACUUAACCAUAUCACCAUGAAAAAGGACAUUAAUCUCAUUUAUGAGGGCUCCACCUUAAUGAUCUAAUCGCCUCCCAGAAGCCCCACUUCCAAAUACCAUCACACUGGGGAUUAGCUUUCAACAUAUCAACUUUAGGGGGACACAAACAUUCAGAGUGUAGCAAUCCCUGUGCCCACUUUUUUUCCUCUAGGAUGGUCAUAUCACCAAAUGGUCUUCUGCUGCCAUUUGGUGAUAACUGUCCCUCUAUGUUCUCUCUUCCUUCCUUUCCUCCUUUCUCCUUUCUUCUUUCCUUCCUUCCUUCUUCCUUUCUCCUUUCUUCUUUCCUUCCUUCCUUCUUCCUUCCUUCCUAUGAAUUGAGCAACUAGUAGAUGCUAGGUCCUAUGAUUAGAAAUGAGAAUGUUACCAAGAACAAGGACAUUAUCUUUAUCCUCAUGGAACUCAGAGUUGAAUUGAAGAAAACAGCACACACAUGACCAAUAGAGAAAACACAGGCUAUGAAAAAAGGAAGAGUGAUUCCCUAAUCAAGCCAUGGGCUUUCAGGGAAAGCCUCCAUGAGGUAGUCAGGUCUGAGAUGGGCUUUAAAAAAAAAAAAGUCAAACAAAUGGAGAAAUGGUGAACAGGUAUCUUCCUGGAACACGGUACAUGUGCAGCCAUGAAGGAUCGAGAAAACCCAAGGCAUAUUUGAGGGCUGCCCAGCCAUGCAGGUGUAGAGUAUGCUUAUGUCUGAGGGGUGGGGCUUAGGCCCAGGCAGAAGUGAGACCAUAAAAUCAACUAAACAUGCAUUAAAGAUUGAAACCUAAGACCUGGAGCCAUAAAAUGCCUAAAAGAAAACAUGAAGGGGAAAAGCUUCAUGACCUUGGACUUGGCAAUAAUUUUUUGGACGUGACAUCAAAAGCGCAAGCAACAAAAGCAAAAUCAAACAAGUGAGACUGAACUAAAAUCUUCUGCACAGCGAAAGAAACAAUCAACAGAGUAAAAAGGCAACAUACAGAAUGGGAGAAAAUAUUUGCAAACCAAAGAUCUGACAAGGUAUUUAUAUCUAAGAUAUGUAAGAAACUCAAACAACUCAAUAGCAAAAUAAAUAAAUAAAUAACGAUUUAAAAAUGGGCAAAGGACUUGAGUAGACAUUUCUCCAAAGAUGACAUACAAAUGGCCAAUAGGUAUAUGAAAACAUGCUCACUAUCAUUAAUCAUCAGAGAAUGCAAUCAAAAGUACAAUAAAAUAUCAACUAUUAGAAUGUCUAUUAUCAGAAAAAAGAUAAAUGUUGGCAAGAAUAUAGAGAAAUUGGAACCCUUGUACACUGUUGGGAAUGUAAAAAUGGUGCAGUUGCUGUGGAAAAUAGUGUGAAGUUCCCUCAAAAAAUUAAACAUGGAAUUACUAUGUGGCCUAGCCCUCUCACUUCUAGGUAUAUAUCCAAAAGAAUUAAAAUUAAG
rnacentral:lncRNA from 10 species